UACGGAGGGUGCAAGCGUUAAUCGGAAUUACUGGGCGUAAAGGGUGCGUAGGUGGUUUGAUAAGAUAUAUGUGAAAUCCCUGGGCUUAACCUGGGAAGGUCAUAUGUGACUGUUAGACUAGAGUAUGGGAGAGGGUAGUGGAAUUUCCGGUGUAGCGGUGAAAUGCGUAGAGAUCGGAAGGAACACCAGUGGCGAAGGCGGCUACCUGGCCUAAUACUGACACUGAGGCACGAAAGCGUGGGGAGCAAACAGG
rnacentral:rRNA from 2 species